rnacentral:rRNA from 1 species
AUUGAACGCUGGCGGCAGGCCUAACACAUGCAAGUCGAGCGGAUGAAGGGAGCUUGCUCCUGGAUUCAGCGGCGGACGGGUGAGUAAUGCCUAGGAAUCUGCCUGGUAGUGGGGGAUAACGUCCGGAAACGGGCGCUAAUACCGCAUACGUCCUGAGGGAGAAAGUGGGGGAUCUUCGGACCUCACGCUAUCAGAUGAGCCUAGGUCGGAUUAGCUAGUUGGUGGGGUAAAGGCCUACCAAGGCGACGAUCCGUAACUGGUCUGAGAGGAUGAUCAGUCACACUGGAACUGAGACACGGUCCAGACUCCUACGGGAGGCAGCAGUGGGGAAUAUUGGACCAAGGGCGAAAGCCUGAUCCAGCCCUGCCGCGUGUGUGAAGAAGGUCUUCGGAUUGUAAAGCACUUUAAGUUGGGAGGAAGGGCAGUAAGUUAAUACCUUGCUGUUUUGACGUUACCAACAGAAUAAGCACCGGCUAACUUCGUG